rnacentral:rRNA from 1 species
GACGAACGCUGGCGGCGUGCUUAACACAUGCAAGUCGAACGAAGAGCGAUGGAAGCUUGCUUCUAUCAAUCUUAGUGGCGAACGGGUGAGUAACGCGUAAUCAACCUGCCCUUCAGAGGGGGACAACAGUUGGAAACGACUGCUAAUACCGCAUACGAUCUAAUCUCGGCAUCGAGGAUAGAUGAAAGGUGGCCUCUACAUGUAAGCUAUCACUGAAGGAGGGGAUUGCGUCUGAUUAGCUAGUUGGAGGGGUAACGGCCCACCAAGGCGAUGAUCAGUAGCCGGUCUGAGAGGAUGAACGGCCACAUUGGGACUGAGACACGGCCCAGACUCCUACGGGAGGCAGCAGUGGGGAAUCUUCCGCAAUGGACGAAAGUCUGACGGAGCAACGCCGCGUGAGCGAUGACGGCCUUCGGGUUGUAAAGCUCUGUUAAUCGGGACGAAAGGCCUUCUUGCGAA